rnacentral:lncRNA from 10 species
AGAGUAUCGCUCUGUCACCCAGGCUGGAGUGCAGUGGUGUGAUCUUGGCUCACUGCAGCCUCCACCUCCCAGGUUCAAGCAAUUCUCCUGCCUCAGCUUCCUGAGUAGCUAGGAUUACAGGCAUGCGCCACCAUGCCCGGCCAAUUUUUUGUAUUUUAGUAGAGGUGGGGUUUCACCAUGUUCGUUGGCCAGGCUGGUCUUGAACUCCUGACCUCAAGUGAUCCACCUGCCUCGACCUCCCAAAGUGCUGGGAUUACAGGAUUACAGGUGUGAGCCACCAUACCCAGCCAAAGAUUUUUAAAAAUUGUCUUUGUUGCCCUUUUUUUAGUUACAGAAGUAAAACAGUAUAUGCUGUAAAUGUUUCAAACCGUGCCAAAGUUAAAAAAUAAUUAAAAGUUUUACUCACUGCCUUUCAAUCCUUUGUCCCAGAGGUAACCAGUAAUGAAGAGUUUUAUGUGACUCCUUUCAGAUUAUUGAAAAUGCAUAUUUGUGCAAAUAUAAUUUAUUUAUAUGGAAUUUUGUUUUUGCACUUACGAAAGUGGUAUCAAAUUACAAAUAUUGGGCUGGGCAUGGUGGCUCACAUGAGCCUGUAAUCCCAGCACAUUGGGAGGCCGAGGCAGGUGGAUAACUUGAGGUCAGGAGUUCCAGACAAGCCUAGCCAACGUGGUGACACCCUGUUUCUACUAAAAAUACAAAAAUUAGCCGGGCGUGUUGGGCAGGCGCCUGCAAUCCCAGCUACAUGGGAGGCUGAGGCAGGAGAAUCGCUUGAACCCGGAGGCGGAGGUUGCAGUGAGCCGAGAUCAUGCCACUGCUCUCCAGCCUGGGUGACAAAGCGAGACUCCAUCGCAAAAAAAAAAAAAAAAAAAAAAUUACAAAUAUUGUUAAAUAAUUUGCUUUUUUCACUUAAUGAUAUACCUUUCCGUGUCUUUUUUUUUUUUUCUUUAAUGGAUGCUUAGCCAUUAGAUGUCGUAUGGUGUACCAUAAUUGGUUUAACUAGUGCCUCUCACUAUUUUUUAAAAAAAUAUUACUCAUGCUGGGUGUGGUGGCUCACGCCUGUAAUCCCAGCACUUUGGGAGGCCAAGGUGGGUGGAUCACGAGGUCAAGAGUUCAAGAUCAGCCUGGCCAAGAUGGUGAAACCCUGCCUCUACUAAAAAUACAAAAAAUUAGCCAGGCGAGGUGGUGGGUGCUUGUAAUCCCAGUUACUUGGGAGGCUGAGGCAGAGAAUUGUUUGAACCUGGGAGGCGGAGGUUGCAGUGAGCCGAGAUUGCACCACUUCACUCCAGCCUGGGCGACAGAGCAAGACUCCGU